GGGGAAUAUUGCACAAUGGGGGAAACCCUGAUGCAGCAACGCCGCGUGAGUGAUGAAGGCCUUCGGGUUGUAAAGCUCUGUUUCCAGGGACGAUAAUGACGGUACCUGGGGAGGAAGCCAUGGCUAACUACGUGCCAGCAGCCGCGGUAACACGUAGGUGGCAAGCGUUGUCCGGAUUUACUGGGCGUAAAGGGAGCGUAGGCGGAUUUUUAAGUGGGAUGUGAAAUCCCCGGGCUCAACCCGGGGGCUGCAUUCCAAACUGGAAAUCUAGAGUGUCGGAGAGGAAAGCAGAAUUCCUAGUGUAGCGGUGAAAUGCGUAGAGAUUAGGAAGAAUACCAGUGGCGAAGGCGGCUUUCUGGACGAUAACUGACGCUGAGGCUCGAAAGCGUGGCGAGCAAAC
rnacentral:rRNA from 1 species